CCGCUAGAGCUGGAGGGAAUGUACAGUCACCAAGGUGAAGGCAGCAAUUUACGGGGCAGCCUCUCCUCCUCGCGCCUGGUGAUCCAGCAGCCUCCACGUCCGGUUGCUUAAUUGGGAAAGAAAGGGAAGGUUUUGAGCAACUCGUUUCUAUUCCUGAAGCAGCCCUCAUUUUCCUUUACCACUUCCCCUCCUCUGUCCAUCGAGGAAGCUCAGGAGAGAAGCAAGUGCCAUAGACGUUUCUGUCAUCGCAAAGCUGAUGGUUUAUAUAAUCUUGGGCUCUCCUGUGCGAGAGCACGUGGAGGCUGGACACCCGCUUGCUCACCCCUCGGGGUUGUUGUGAGCCAGGAUGUGUGCGGACAGUUUGGCGAUCGGCUCUGAGAUGUCCAGCUUCCCAGGCCUGUUUGUCUCUGACCCUGUUCUGCAGACCGAAGAGAAAGGUGUGGGGAAGCAGGGGUGCGGGAGAGAGCACUGAGCACGGGUGUGGUCCCAGCUGAGACGGUCAGCCUGAUCCCCACCGGAGCCCGGGAGCAGGACACGUGCCACAGCGCCGGCCCCACCAUGAGGUGUGGGUGUUUGUCAAGGGCCACUGUUGGGAGGCACAGAGGCCAUCCUGAGAGCUGCUGCUUUGUCCAGAAAGGGGACCUCUGGGGCCAUUGGCCGCCAACGGCUUCAAGAGCUAGGCGUCUGCACCCAGGGCACUGAUGGGUCCAGCUGGGCACCAACGGCAUCUCCUGUGCCCCUGGAUGAGUUGUCACCACAACACACAACCUAAACGUGAAUUUCGUACAGUUUACAGUAAUACUGAGUGCAGUGUAUCAUAAUCCUUGUGCCAAAAAAUAAUUCACAGUGAGGGGAAAGACGACACCAUUUUUCCUGUUUGCUCAUCGCUCCUUGAUUGAAAUCCGUUAAUAAACUAUGGAGAGGAGAGUGCGGGACCGUAUCUGGCUCCUUCCAUACC